GACGAACGCUGGCGGCGUGCUUAACACAUGCAAGUCGAACGGAAAGGCCCUGCUUUUGUGGGGUGCUCGAGUGGCGAACGGGUGAGUAACACGUGAGUAACCUGCCCUUGACUUUGGGAUAACUUCAGGAAACUGGGGCUAAUACCGUAUAGGAGCUCCUGCUGCAUGGUGGGGGUUGGAAAGUUUCGGCGGUUGGGGAUGGACUCGCGGCUUAUCAGCUUGUUGGUGGGGUAGUGGCUUACCAAGGCUUUGACGGGUAGCCGGCCUGAGAGGGUGACCGGCCACAUUGGGACUGAGAUACGGCCCAGACUGCUACGGGAGGCAGCAGUGGGGAAUAUUGCACAAUGGGCGGAAGCCUGAUGCAGCAACGCCGCGUGCGGGAUGACGGCCUUCGGGUUGUAAACCGCUUUCGCCUGUGACGAAGCGUGAGUGACGGUAAUGGGUAAAGAAGCACCGGCUAACUACGUG
rnacentral:rRNA from 1 species